AUUCCAGCUCCAAUAGCGUAUAUUAAAGUUGUUGCGGUUAAAAAGCUCGUAGUUGGAUUUCUGUUGAGGUUGGGCGGUCCGCACUACGUGCGAGUAUCUGCUUCGGCCUUGGCAUCCUCUCGGAAAACGCUACUGUGCUUGAUUGCAUGGUGCGGGGUUCGGGACUUUUACUUUGAGGAAAUUAGAGUGUUCACGGCAGGCAAUCGCCCUGAAUAUAUUAGCAUGGAAUAAUAAUAUAGGAUCUGAUGCCUAUUUUGUUGGUUUCUAGGCGUGAGAUAAUGAUUAAUAGGGACAAUUGGGGGGAUUCGUACUAUGGCGUCAGAGGUGGAAUUCUUGGAUUGCCAUACGACGAACUACUGCGAAAGCAUUUCUCAGGGAUGUUUUCAUCA
rnacentral:rRNA from 1 species